GAUGAACGCUGGCGGCGUGCCUAACACAUGCAAGUCGAGCGAACCCUUCGGGGUGAGCGGCGGACGGGUGAGUAACGCGUGGGUAACCUGCCCUGUACACACGGAUAACAUACCGAAAGGUAUGCUAAUACGGGAUAAUAUAUGAGAGUCGCAUGGCUUUUGUAUCAAAGCUCCGGCGGUACAGGAUGGACCCGCGUCUGAUUAGCUAGUUGGUAAGGUAACGGCUUACCAAGGCAACGAUCAGUAGCCGACCUGAGAGGGUGAUCGGCCACAUUGGAACUGAGACACGGUCCAAACUCCUACGGGAGGCAGCAGUGGGGAAUAUUGCACAAUGGGCGAAAGCCUGAUGCAGCAACGCCGCGUGAGCGAUGAAGGCCUUCGGGUCGUAAAGCUCUGUCCUCAAGGAAGAUAAUGACGGUACUUGAGGAGGAAGCCCCGGCUAACUACGUGCCAGCCGCCGCAGUAAAAC
rnacentral:rRNA from 1 species